rnacentral:rRNA from 1 species
UACGGGGGGGGCAAGCGUUGUUCGGAAUUACUGGGCGUAAAGGGCUCGUAGGUGGCCAACUAAGUCAUACGUGAAAUCCCUCAGCUUAACUGGGGAACUGCGCCUGAUACUGGUUGGCUUGAGUUUGGGAGAGGGACGCGGAAUUCCAGGUGUAGCGGUGAAAUGCGUAGAUAUCUGGAGGAACACCGGUGGCGUAAGCGAUUACCUGGGCUAGACCUGACGCUGAGGGACGAAGGCGUGGGAAGCAAACGGG